AUUGAACGCUGGCGGCAUGCUUUACACAUGCAAGUCGAACGGCAGCACGGACUUCGGUCUGGUGGCGAGUGGCGAACGGGUGAGUAAUACAUCGGAACGUACCCAGUAAUGGGGGAUAACUAUCCGAAAGGAUAGCUAAUACCGCAUACGCCCUACGGGGGAAAGAGGGGGAUCGCAAGACCUCUUGUUAUUCGAGCGGCCGAUGGCUGAUUAGCUAGUUGGUAGGGUAAAGGCCUACCAAGUAAACGAGCAGUAGCGGGUCUUAGGGGACGAUCCGCCACACUGGAACUGAGACACGGUCCAGACUCCUACGGGAGGCAGCAGUGGGGAAUCUUGGACAAUGGGCGCAAGCCUGAUCCAGCAAUGCCGCGUGCGUGAAGAAGGCCUUCGGGUUGUAAAGCGCUUUAGUCAGGGAGCAAAUCCUUGUGGCUAAUACCCACCGGGGAUGAGAGUACCUGAAGAAUAAGGACCGGCUAACUACGUGCCAGCAGCCGCCGUAACAC
rnacentral:rRNA from 1 species